GCUACCAUGCAAGUCGAGCGGCAGCGGGUCCUUCGGGAUGCCGGCGAGCGGCGGACGGGUGAGUAAUGCCUAGGAAUCUGCCUGGUAGUGGGGGAUAACGUUCGGAAACGGACGCUAAUACCGCAUACGUCCUACGGGAGAAAGUGGGGGAUCUUCGGACCUCACGCUAUCAGAUGAGCCUAGGUCGGAUUAGCUAGUUGGUGGGGUAAUGGCUCACCAAGGCGACGAUCCGUAACUGGUCUGAGAGGAUGAUCAGUCACACUGGAACUGAGACACGGUCCAGACUCCUACGGGAGGCAGCAGUGGGGAAUAUUGGACAAUGGGCGAAAGCCUGAUCCAGCCAUGCCGCGUGUGUGAAGAAGGUCUUCGGAUUGUAAAGCACUUUAAGUUGGGAGGAAGGGCAGCUAGUUAAUACCUGGUUGUUUUGACGUUACCAACAGAAUAAGCACCGGCUAACUUCGUGCCAGCAGCCGCGGUAAUACGAAGGGUGCAAGCGUUAAUCGGAAUUACUGGGCGUAAAGCGCGCGUAGGUGGUUCAGCAAGUUGGAGGUGAAAUCCCCGGGCUCAACCUGGGAACUGCCUCCAAAACUACUGAGCUAGAGUACGGUAGAGGGUAGUGGAAUUUCCUGUGUAGCGGUGAAAUGCGUAGAUAUAGGAAGGAACACCAGUGGCGAAGGCGACUACCUGGACUGAUACUGACACUGAGGUGCGAAAGCGUGGGGAGCAAACAGGAUUAGAUACCCUGGUAGUCCACGCCGUAAACGAUGUCGACUAGCCGUUGGGAUCCUUGAGAUCUUAGUGGCGAAGCUAACGCGAUAAGUCGACCGCCUGGGGGAGUACGGCCGCAAGGUUAAAACUCAAAUGAAUUGACGGGGGCCCGCACAAGCGGUGGAGCAUGUGGUUUAAUUCNAAACNACCNCGAAAAACCUUACCUGGNCCUUGACAUGCUGANAACUUUCCAAAAAUGGAUUGGUGCCUUCNGGAACUCAAACCCAGGUGCUGCAUGGCUGUCNUCACCUCNUGUCNUGAAAUGUUGGGUUAANUCCCNUAAC
rnacentral:rRNA from 1 species